rnacentral:rRNA from 1 species
AUUGAACGCUGGCGGCAGGCCUAACACAUGCAAGUCGAGCGGAGCGGCUGACGGGUGAGUAAUGCCUAGGAAUCUGCCUGGUAGUGGGGGAUACCGUCCGGAAACGGGCGCUCAUACCGCAUACUAUCAGAUGAGCCUAGGUCGGAUUAACUGUUUGGUGGGGUAACGGCCUACCAAGGCGACGAUCCUUAGCUGGUCUGAGAGGAUGACCAGCCACACUGGAACUGAGACACGGUCCAUACUCCUACGGGAGGCAGCAGUGGGGAAUAUUGCACAAUGGGCGAAAGCCUGAUGCAGCAAUGCCGCGUGUGUGAAGAAGGCAUUCGGAUUGUAAAGUACUUUCAGCGGGGAGGCGUUACCCGCAGAAGAAGCACCGGCUAACUCCGUGCCAGCAGCCGCGGUAAUUC